rnacentral:rRNA from 1 species
UACGUAGGGGGCAAGCGUUGUCCGGAUUUAUUGGGCGUAAAGAGCGUGUAGGCGGCCAAACAGGUCGGCUGUGAAAACUCGAGGCUCAACCUCGAGACGUCGGUUGAAACCGUUUGGCUAGAGUCCGGAAGAGGAGAGUGGAAUUCCCGGUGUAGCGGUGAAAUGCGCAGAUAUCGGGAAGAACACCAGUGGCGAAGGCGGCUCUCUGGGACGGUACUGACGCUGAGGAGCGAAAGCGUGGGGAGCGAACAGG